CUCUAAAUGUCUAAUUACCUUUUAACCUUUAGGUUGGAUUCCAGCAGAAUGGUUAAUCGCUACAGUUGAUGACUACUGGGUUUUCAGCAAACGGUUUGAAGCCAAUAUGGAUGUUGUCUCCAGCCCAUGAAGCUACAUAAGGUUGACGUUAUGCCAGAAGUAUGUGCCAAUGAUGGGCAUAUUCCUUUGAAUGCACAGACCUGUCACUCUGACAGAGGUUUAUGCCAUGGCAGAAGAGUUGUGGUGACCGGUUUGGAGCACGAUGUUGAACAGUCAAGCUUUGUAGUAUUGUGUAUCAUAACUUGAACACUUGUUUCAGUGUCAUUGUAUAUCAUUCUCAGGACAGUUUGAGAAAGUAACUGCUUGUUUUUGACUUCUCGGUUCUUUGUAUACUUUUUUUUAAAUUUUUUUUAUUGACACUGCUUUUACGUUUAAUAAA